AUUGAACGCUGGCGGCAGGCCUAACACAUGCAAGUCGAGCGGAUGAAGGGAGCUUGCUCCUGGAUUCAGCGGCGGACGGGUGAGUAAUGCCUAGGAAUCUGCCUGGUAGUGGGGGACAACGUUUCGAAAGGAACGCUAAUACCGCAUACGUCCUACGGGAGAAAGCAGGGGACCUUCGGGCCUUGCGCUAUCAGAUGAGCCUAGGUCGGAUUAGCUAAUUGGUGAGGUAAUGGCUCACCAAGGCGACGAUCCGUAACUGGUCUGAGAGGAUGAUCAGGCACACUGGAACUGAGACACGGUCCAGACUCCUACGGGAGGCAGCAGUGGGGAAUAUUGGACAAUGGGCGAAAGCCUGAUCCAGCCAUGCCGCGUGUGUGAAGAAGGUCUUCGGAUUGUAAAGCACUUUAAGUUGGGAGGAAGGGUUGUAGAUUAAUACUCUGCAAUUUUGACGUUACCGACAGAAUAAGCACCGGCUAACUCUGUGCCAGCAGCCGCGGUAACAC
rnacentral:rRNA from 1 species